rnacentral:rRNA from 1 species
GACGAACGCUGGCGGCGUGCUUAACACAUGCAAGUCGAACGGAAAGGCCCUGCUUUUGUGGGGUGCUCGAGUGGCGAACGGGUGAGUAACACGUGAGUAACCUGCCCUUGACUUUGGGAUAACUUCAGGAAACUGGGGCUAAUACCGGAUAGGAGCUCCUGCUGCAUGGUGGGGGUUGGAAAGUUUCGGCGGUUGGGGAUGGACUCGCGGCUUAUCAGCUUGUUGGUGGGGUAGUGGCUUACCAAGGCUUUGACGGGUAGCCGGCCUGAGAGGGUGACCGGCCACAUUGGGGCUGAGAUACGGCCCAGACUCCUACGGGAGGCAGCAGUGGGGAAUAUUGCACAAUGGGCGGAAGCCUGAUGCAGCAACGCCGCGUGCGGGAUGACGGCCUUCGGGUUGUAAACCGCUUUCGCCUGUGACGAAGCAUGAGUGACGGUAAUGGGUAAAGAAGCACCGGCUAACUACGUG